CGUUUUUCCAUAAUAAAUCCUUUAUCUAAUUUCUAUUGUCCGAAAAAUCGGAGCCGCUGAUCAAAAGAUCUAACGGCUUAGAUCCUGUCCCUCACUUUAGACCCAAAAGAACCACUAACCCUAAUAAUUCUAUCACCGUCUGGCCGCCCUAAUUUCCCCAUUCACUCUCUCUGUUCUCUCAUUCCCAUCAAUCCCAUCAAUCCAAGACCUUGUACAAAUUUGUGCAAGGUCACUCCAAACACCUAAAUCAUCUCUUCUGUCCCUGCAAUGCCUCAAUUCCGCCUGAAAUUUCCCCUUCAUCUCUACAAUUCAAAACCCCCAAAUCCGAAACCCUAGACCUAAACUAUGCAACCUAAGAUUCCAUUAAUCCUUCCUUUGUUCCGUCGAAUCGGAGCAUGCAUGACCAUUAUCUUCAACUUCAUCAUUAUUUUUCGAGGUUCAGAGGUCAAACACACUGACUUUUGGACAUUAGGGUUUGACCGACAGUCCGAUGGCUUCAACGGUCGACCUCCUCAUGCGCAGAUAAGAAUCUUCACUAUUUCCCCCUCUUUUCUUCUGAUUUUUACCCUCCUUGCUAUCGUCAUCCAUCUAUCAUCACUCUUCACUACCAUUUUGAAUUCAAUCGAAAUCCUAAGUGGCUUGAAUGUCGCUAUAAUAGGGAAUUCAAUGUCUUCACCAAACAGACAUCAAUAGACACCAAUACACACCUAACAUCACUGGAAAAUACACUGAAAGAAUUAAAAGUUUAAGUUUUUCCUACUAAGUUUAAGUUCCAGUAGUUCCCCUCUAAUAUUUCUCUUUUCAUCUUUUCAUUUCUAUUUGAGUCCAAUCCCUGUGAGUGGAUCGUUGUUGGUUUGGAUCCCAAAAUAGUUAAUAAUCGACUCCUACUUGGUUUGCUGCUCUAAAGAAGUGAUGUUCAUGGACCUCCAUAUUCCCUUUAGUUGAGAAAGUUCCAUGUUCAAACUACUACGUCAACUUGCAUGUGAUUCCUUGGUAAUUCAAAAGGUCUUCCCAACAGCAUGCCUACCCUAUUAUGCUAAUCUAUCUGCCUAAGUUGGAAACUUUAUAUAACAGCCAUAUUUGGCCUCAUGUUGGUUUUGUUCAGCUAAAAGAAAGUAGUCUAUCAUGAUAGCCUCAUAAAUUGUGAAUACUUGACAAAUGUUGACCUAAGGUAUCACUAUAAUCUUAUUUGUUCAUCUAAAAUGAUAUUAAUUAUCUACUUGUUGUUUUGGCCAUUUAUGUUUUCUAGUUCUCUCAAGAUCAUGUAAUGCUCAAGACACUGUUUAGGAAGACUCCUCUUGUCAACUUGAGUACUGCCUGCCUCAAUAACUCAAUAACUUGACUGAAUAUUGAUGAACAUGUAUUAUGCAUGUAGGAUCUAAAAUGAAAGUUUGUUGGUGUAACUUGCUAGUAGAACUACUCAUAUGUUCAAGUAAACUCAUUGUGAUAUGUUUGCCUUACCCCUUGCAAAUUGAAAUGACUGUCAUUGUUUGCCAUCUCAUGUUUGUUGACAUCACUGUUUAUAGAAGAACUUAAUUGAGAAUCUAAAAUAGUUUGGAUCUGGUAGUUUGAAAAUCUGAUAGACUAUGUGUUGUUACAACAAGACAUCAUGUCAUUAGGUCUAAAAAGACUAAACUAAUCUUUAUAUUCAUGUUGGUGUCCCUGUUGGUUGCUCUCAUCCUUAGAAAGUCUGAACAAGGCUGCAAGUAUAAGUGCUUAGUGAUGUGGAAUCUCAGUUAUAUAUAUAUAUAUUUGCUCUAAACUGUUCUGAAAAUCUAUUAAAAUACCUAUUGACUUGCUCUAAGUAAUCUGAAUCUAUUUAAAGAUCCUAAAGUACUAAACCUUUAAUAGAAUGAACAAAGUUAGGGCAUUUUUGAAUUUGAGGUGAUUAAAUCUAGCACCUACCUACUGAUAAUAUGCAACUAGUUCUCUUUGUUCUAUGACUGCAUCUUAGUUAUGAUCCACUUAAGUUCUCUUAUGCAUGCUAGGAUCAGCCUUAAGGCCCCUGAUAUUAUUGGAAUACUAGAAGUUUAGUUGUAGUGAUCUAUCUUUGUAUUAGUGUUCUGCCAACAUGCCCCAAGGUUAAUAUUGUGAAUGGUUCUGAGCCGUUCAUAUCUUGGUACUCUAAUGAUAAUGUAAUGUCCUCUAUAGCUAUUUAUUUCAAGUAGUUGACAGUUUCAUUUAUGUCUAAGCCUUUGAGGAAUAGUAAGAGUGGAUGACUAAGGGUAUUUGGGUGUGAACUUGUUUUGUUAUCGAGGUACUCCUCCCUGGAACAAGCACUGCUCGGGGUCCUUGAGACCCUUGUGAACUCUGAAGUGUAAGGUGUCCAUAGGAGAUUUCAUAAAUAAAAUAUGGUUCACCCUAAGCGUUUGAUCAUUAACCUUAACUAAUCUUCAUAGGGUUGGCAGAAAAAUGAAAACUAGAAUCAUACUAUGUCUUUUCAGAUCUUUACUUACCUUCCAUAAUUUAUUUUGCUUCUUAUGUUGAUGUAUACUAAUUGUUCCCUCUUUCUUUUUACCAUGCAUAUUUGAAUUGGGCCUGCUGAGACCAUUUGAAGAUCAAGCCCAACUUCCAGACCUGGGUCAUUUCUUUUCCUGCUCUUUGGAGUCUGCUACUUGUGAGAAUUUUGUUGGGCUUGACUACCUACUGGCCCAAAUAUCGAGAGUCCAUCCCUUCCUCCCUCUCAUUGUUAGACGAUAAAUAUUAUUGUUCAUUACUCUGUAUAUACAUAUCUAUCGAAACAAACCUUGUUAUUGGUUAUUGUUUUAUA